rnacentral:misc_RNA from 1 species
UAAUAGAAUUCUUAAACUUCCUAAUACUAAAAAUCUAAAUUAAAACUCUUAAUUUUAUAAUUAAAAAAUAAAUGAAAAUGAUUCCUAAAUUGAAUCUUCCUUGACUGCAUUAAUAAGCUACUGUUGAUUGAAUUGAGAUCCAACGAUCAUCAGCAACUAAGUCUAAAUCCAUUUUGAACCUCUAAUUGCAUUUCGGAACUUUGCCCUACAUAAUCCAACAGGGCAGCGUAAUUAUCAUGGACUUGGCAGGUAACAUUGACAUGGUGUUAAUUUUCCACACGCACAACAAGGGAAUCAUAGUACACAAGUAGAACUUAAUUAUGACAAUCUGAGCAGCUAUGGUCUAAAUAGGUUGAAAAAGACAAUACUAGAAACAUGGUAUUAAUUUAAUGGUGAUAACAUGGAACUAUAGGCAUAGGUAGAGCCAGAAAAUUUUUUUUGAAGAGGCCAAUGUUAUAUAUAAAAUUGAUUCAAAAAAUUGUUAACUACCCUCAUUUCCUAUAUAUUGAGGGGUCAAUGUUGUAUACUCAAAAAAAUACCAUAAUAGAGGUUAGGCUAGAAUAUUUUACAUUAUGCAUAUCAUGAGAAACAGUACAAUUUUUUUUUUUUGGAAGCUCCAACGGCUAAAAUAAAAUAAUUUUUUUUCCUAAAGUAUAUAUAUAUAUACACACACA